GGUUCCAUGGUGUAGCGGUGAGCACGUCUCCUUUACACGCAGAAGGUCCUGGGUUCGUGCCCCAGUUCAGCCA
rnacentral:tRNA from 1 species